CCAAACAAAUGGAAAUACAUAUAAACAGUUUAAACAUGAACAUGCUGCAAAAAAGAAAAGAAAAGAAAGAAAAAAAGAAAACAAAAAGGGGGGAAAGCGGACUGGCCAGUCCUAAAAUGGAAAUGAUUUGCUUAAUUCUUUGCAGGAUCUGCUAUAUUGUUGUUUCUAUGCAAUCUAUUUACUUAAUCUAUAAUCAACUCUGAGGAACUUUAUAAAGACAUCUAUCAGAACCAGUUGCUCAUUGAUUCCUCCUCCAGAAAAAUAGAAAGCAGAAGCAUGAGAGAGGAAUGGACAGUCAAUUAAUGGUUUACAGAUGUGGGAAAAGCAAGAAGCAAUUUAGGUGUAACUUGUAAAAAUGAAGCAGCAGUCUGAAAUUGCUAGAGAAAAGCACGUAAAAGCAGGAACAAGGGAGAUGGCACUGAGGUGACAGGACCAGGUCCAAAACAAGAAAUCACAGACUCUAAGGACCACCCAUGAAAUGCCUCAACCACUGGGAACUGCAAUAGCAGUUUGCCAAACUUUUCAGAGCAAGAAGCUUGUCAACAUGUUGCAUCAGUUUGGUUUGUGAGUUGACUAUAACCAGAUUUUAAGACUUGAGGCACAGAUAGCUACAACUGUUGUAGAAAGAAUGCUGGUCAAUGAUGGCAUCUAUUUGCCUAAUGAUGUAGUUGAAGGAAGAUUCAUAUUCUUUGCAAAUAGACAAUAUUGAUUUCACUGAAGAUACGCCCGGUGGUAAACGAACCCUUCAUGGAACAGCAAUGGCUAUAUAUCAGAGAUGUGAGGCUGAAGAUGAGGCACCAAUAACUCAGCUAACAAGGAGAACUCAAAAACGCUCAAUGAAGAAACUCCCAAGUACAAUAACUAAACUUUCGAUUGGCAUAAAUCAUCAAUAAAACCAACAGGUCCAGUAUACACCUCAUUCAAUUUAAAAGAACGCUCUCAACCACAAUUACUAGAAUCCUGUCUUGCAGACAUUACCUGGCUUAUGGGAUAAUCAGUGGUUAGAUCUCACAAACUGACUGUAAGCAGCAUUCCUUGUACAAGUGAAAACAGUGGAGUAGGUGAUGAAACUAAAGUUAUAAACACUAGCAAAUGCAACAU